UAAAUUUAGAGUUUGAUCCUGGCUCAGGACGAACGCUGGCGGCGUGCUUAACACAUGCAAGUCGAGCGAUGAAACUUCCUUCGGGGAGUGGAUUAGCGGCGGACGGGUGAGUAACACGUGGGUAACCUGCCUCAAAGUGGGGGAUAGCCUUCCGAAAGGAAGAUUAAUACCGCAUAAUAUAAGAGAAUCGCAUGAUUUUCUUAUCAAAGAUUUAUUGCUUUGAGAUGGACCCGCGGCGCAUUAGCUAGUUGGUAAGGUAACGGCUUACCAAGGCAACGAUGCGUAGCCGACCUGAGAGGGUGAUCGGCCACAUUGGAACUGAGACACGGUCCAGACUCCUACGGGAGGCAGCAGUGGGGAAUAUUGCGCAAUGGGGGAAACCCUGACGCAGCAACGCCGCGUGGGUGAUGAAGGUCUUCGGAUUGUAAAGCCCUGUUUUCUAGGACGAUAAUGACGGUACUAGAGGAGGAAGCCACGGCUAACUACGUGCCAGCAGCCGCGGUAAUACGUAGGUGGCGAGCGUUGUCCGGAUUUACUGGGCGUAAAGGGUGCGUAGGCGGAUGUUUAAGUGGGAUGUGAAAUCCCCGGGCUUAACCUGGGGGCUGCAUUCCAAACUGGAUAUCUAGAGUGCAGGAGAGGAAAGCGGAAUUCCUAGUGUAGCGGUGAAAUGCGUAGAGAUUAGGAAGAACACCAGUGGCGAAGGCGGCUUUCUGGACUGUAACUGACGCUGAGGCACGAAAGCGUGGGUAGCAAACAGGAUUAGAUACCCUGGUAGUCCACGCCGUAAACGAUGGAUACUAGGUGUAGGGGGUAUCAACUCCCCCUGUGCCGCAGUUAACACAAUAAGUAUCCCGCCUGGGGAGUACGGUCGCAAGAUUAAAACUCAAAGGAAUUGACGGGGGCCCGCACAAGCAGCGGAGCAUGUGGUUUAAUUCGAAGCAACGCGAAGAACCUUACCUGGACUUGACAUCCCUUGCAUAGCCUAGAGAUAGGUGAAGCCCUUCGGGGCAAGGAGACAGGUGGUGCAUGGUUGUCGUCAGCUCGUGUCGUGAGAUGUUAGGUUAAGUCCUGCAACGAGCGCAACCCUUGUUAUUAGUUGCUACCAUUAAGUUGAGCACUCUAAUGAGACUGCCUGGGUAACCAGGAGGAAGGUGGGGAUGACGUCAAAUCAUCAUGCCCCUUAUGUCCAGGGCUACACACGUGCUACAAUGGUAGGUACAAUAAGACGCAAGACCGUGAGGUGGAGCAAAACUUAUAAAACCUAUCUCAGUUCGGAUUGUAGGCUGCAACUCGCCUACAUGAAGCUGGAGUUGCUAGUAAUCGCGAAUCAGAAUGUCGCGGUGAAUACGUUCCCGGGCCUUGUACACACCGCCCGUCACACCAUGAGAGCUGGUAACACCCGAAGUCCGUGAGGUAACCGUAAGGAGCCAGCGGCCGAAGGUGGGAUUAGUGAUUGGGGUGAAGUCGUAACAAGGUAGCCGUAGGAGAACCUGCGGCUGGAUCACCUCCUUU
rnacentral:rRNA from 4 species